rnacentral:rRNA from 1 species
CUACGGGAGGCAGCAGUGGGGAAUCUUGCACAAUGGAGGAAACUCUGAUGCAGCGAUGCCGCGUGAGUGAAGAAGGCCCUUGGGUUGUAAAGCUCUUUCGUCGGGGAAGAAAAUGACUGUACCCGUAUAAGAAGGUCCGGCUAACUUCGUGCCAGCAGCCGCGGUAAUACGAAGGGACCUAGCGUAGUUCGGAAUUACUGGGCUUAAAGAGUUCGUAGGUGGUUGAAAAAGUUAGUGGUGAAAUCCCAGAGCUUAACUCUGGAACUGCCAUUAAAACUUUUCAGCUAGAGUAUGAUAGAGGAAAGCAGAAUUUCUAGUGUAGAGGUGAAAUUCGUAGAUAUUAGAAAGAAUACCAAUUGCGAAGGCAGCUUUCUGGAUCAUUACUGACACUGAGGAACGAAAGCAUGGGUAGCGAAGAGGAUUAGAUACCCUCGUAGUCCAUGCCGUAAACGAUGUGUGUUAGACGUUGGAAAUUUAUUUUCGGUGUCGCAGGGAAACCGAUAAACACACCGCCUGGGGAGUACGACCGCAAGGUUAAAACUCAAAGGAAUUGACGGA